rnacentral:rRNA from 1 species
UACAGAGGCCUCGAGCGUUGUUCGGAAUUACUGGGCGUAAAGAGAACGUAGGUGGUGACGUAAGUCAGAUGUGAAAGCCCUGGGCUUAACCUGGGAAGUGCAUUUGAUACUGCGUUGCUGGAGUACGAAAGAGGAAAGCGGAAUUUCCAGUGUAGGAGUGAAAUCCGUAGAUAUUGGAAGGAAUACCGAUGGCGAAGGCAGCUUUCUGGUUCGUAACUGACACUGAGGUUCGAAAGCGUGGGUAGCAAACAGG